CACACACACACACACACACACGGCAUAUCCUAAGCCCUUUGGAAGUAUUAGCUUACUGUUGAUGCCCUUGAAAAUAGGAAUCUGUACCAGUGAGUGAGAGGCUGGGAGCUGCUUCCUAACUCAGCAGCACUCAGGAGCAAACGGAAGGAACAGACAGAACUAGCACCAGUCCUAACCCUCAAAGGUUGCUGUGGGGCCCAUAGUCCCGGGGAGCUUGACCCUAUGAACUAGGCUUUCCUGGAGUUAACCCUGAGCAUGGGGUCCCGGGAGCCCUCCUCAGUGGAGCCCUUGUCCUCACAGGCCCCAGUGCAUGUGUGCCGUGUUUAGCUCAAGCCUGUGGCACAUGUGCUGUGGUUGUUUAGCUCCCACUUUCUCGAUGCUCCAGGGUGCAGAUGCCCAACUGCGGGGCAGUGGCUUUUGAACACCUGCACAGACUUCCCCCACAGGGCCACUUUAAAGUCCAAAGCCCAGUCUAGUUGGUGAGAAAAGCUCCAAGAAUGCAACUUGCCAAGACCGAGCCCAAGGGGAUGGAAGGUGGGGAAUCUCUCUGCCAGAGCCUGCUUGCCUUUUUCCAGAGCUCAUCUGGAAACAAAUGACCUCACUCUGUAGCCUGGGGCCAGAGUGACCACUGCCUUUCUUGAAGUCCAGGAUGUCUGGGGACGGAGCCAGGGUGACUGACCAUGCCAUGUCCAGCUUCCCUUAGCCAGGUUAGGGUCCUUCUUCCAUUGCUGACUCUCAGGCCAGGGGAGGGAAGAAAGCCAUGGUUAGGAGACCUACAUCUGGGUCAGCCUCCAUUCUGCCUGACUGCACAACCUCCUGCAGGUCACGUGACUUUUGAGUGCUGGAUUCUUCAGAGCAUCCUGCAGCACAGCAUCUUAGG
rnacentral:sRNA from 1 species